rnacentral:rRNA from 1 species
GACGAACGCUGGCGGCGUGCUUAACACAUGCAAGUCGAACGGAGAAUUUUACUUCGGUGAAAUUCUUAGUGGCGAACGGGUGAGUAACGCGUAGACAACCUGCCUCUUAGAUGGGGACAACAUCGCGAAAGCGGUGCUAAUACCGAGUGAAGUGGAGCUUCCGCAUGGAAGCAUCACCAAAGGUGGCCUCUAUUUAUAAGCUACCACUGAGGGAUGGGUCUGCGUCUGAUUAGCUAGUUGGCGGGGUAAUGGCCCACCAAGGCGACGAUCAGUAGCCGGUCUGAGGGGAUGAACGGCCACAUUGGGACUGAGACACGGCCCAAACUCCUACGGGAGGCAGCAGUGGGGAAUCUUCCGCAAUGGACGAAAGUCUGACGGAGCAACGCCGCGUGAGUGAAGAAGGUUUUCGGAUCGUAAAGCUCUGUUGUUUGAGACGAAUGUGCAGACUUUGAAUAAGGGUUUGUAAUGACGGUAUUAAACGAGAAAGCCACGGCUAACUACGUGCCAGCAGCCGCCGUAA